AGCAUGGGGUUAUAGUAGUAUUUACUAUCUAGACACAAUCCUAUAUAAUAUCAGGUUGGUGACCCAAAAGUUGUUAGCCUUUUCUCUCCUCUUGCACUACUGAUCGAUGUCCAUGUGAACUUGCAUUUUAGCUAAUGACAUCUUCGAAAUGCAGGAACAAAAAGAAUACCUUCCAUUUGAAAUGCAAGGUUGAUACGGCUGAGGAUUGGAUAGCGAAGGAAAAUGAAUUACCAUCUGGGC
rnacentral:lncRNA from 1 species